rnacentral:pre_miRNA from 1 species
AAAAAGGCAAACCGUAGGUUCCCGUGCCAACGUUUAACUGUCCGUCUUAUAUGAAAUUUUUUUAUAAUUAGUAUUUUCAUUGUUGUUAGAUGAUAAAGCAUGAUUAAUACUUUAUACGUGACUUAUCUUUUUAAUUUUCUUCAUAAUUUUUUCAAAUAAGACGAACGGUUAAACGUUGGACACGGAAACCAUGGUUUGUCUUUUU